GCCCCCAUAGCUCAGGUGGAUAGAGCACAGGUUUCCUAAACCUGGUGCCGCAGGUUCGAAUCCUGCUGGGGGUA
rnacentral:tRNA from 1 species